CGGACCGGCGCACGGGUGAGUAACGCGUAUGCAACUUACCUAUCAGGAGGGGAUAACCCGGCGAAAGUCGGACUAAUACCGCAUGAAGCAGGGGCCCCGCAUGGGGAUAUUUGCUAAAGAUUCAUCGCUGAUAGAUAGGCAUGCGUUCCAUUAGGCAGUUGGCGGGGUAACGGCCCACCAAACCGACGAUGGAUAGGGGUUCUGAGAGGAAGGUCCCCCACAUUGGUACUGAGACACGGACCAA
rnacentral:rRNA from 1 species